AUGAACUUAUAUAUUAGGUUUCAUCAAAUAAUUACAUCUAUUACAUACUUUAUCCAAGAGUAAAAUUGCCUGAAGCAAGAAGGAUUAUGCAAGAAAUAUGAGGUUUUGCUUCAGAUUCUUAGAAAUACUACUCCUAAAAUUAGUUGGAGUCUUAAUUUAAGAUAUAAUGAAAACCAAAUUCACCAAUAAACAAAAAAAUCCUUCUUUAACAAAACAUGCUUUAAACCUCAUCUCACCACCAAAAAAAAUACUGCAUCCUACUACAGGGAUACCUGCCUUUCAUAAGUGUUAAGAUCAAGACUAAAUAUUUCAUGAGGACUAAAAAGAUCACUUGGAACAUUUCAGUCAGCCUUGGGGGUAAAUUUCAUAAAAAUACAUUGUUGGGUUUUGUUGUUUUGUUUGCUUGUUUAUUUCAGCACCCUAAUCCUCCAGGAUUUUUUUUUUUUUUUUCUUAAAAAAAAAAAAAAAAUCCCAAAAGGGGCGGAGGAAUGAGGACUAAAAUCAAUGCAAUGCUGAAGCCCGAUCAAAGCUGAGAGACGGACCACAGCGCCGAAAGCUCACCCACAUGUAAAAGGCAACCUCUCCGAACUGCUGGAGCUGGAAGGAGUCCUCCGACUUGGGCAAACCAGGUGAACUGCAUCCCUAAGGAGUGAGGAGCCCGCAGUGUAAAAGUUCAGGAGGAUUCCAUCCCCUUCCUCUCACUCCCAGCACUUCGCAGCAUCUCCAGGGGAGAGCCGGGCAGAGACAAACCCGGCACUGGGUGCCGACCUGCAGCCGAGCGCUUUCCUCGAAGGCCUCACGGUUCGGGCGGGCAGGGGCCCGGGGCAGGGGGCAUCGGGAGGGGAGGCGAGGCGGGGCCCGGGGCCACCGAGUCCUGGCCGGGCCCCACCGUGUGGCGCCGGCUGCCGAAAUCCCUCGAGUCCAGCUGUAAAAACCUUCCCGAAAACCCAAGCUUCUCCGGCACAACUUCGGUCUCACCGGCCUCGUCCCCCGCCUCACACUCCGCCCAACCCCACAACCCUUCCCACCGCGGGGAAUCGAAGCGCUCCCCACGGACGGCUACCUGUCCCCGGGGGGCCGCGGACCCCACGCCUCACCUCGUACAAAGAGCUGCGCGCGGGCGCCUGCAGGAGAGCCCGGGGAGCAUGGCCCCAGCCAGUCCCUCCCGGAACUUUCCUGACAUAGCACUUCUCUCCCCGGCUGCAGAAAACGACGCUUCGAGGCGGAGGAGGAGGAGGCGAGGGUGGCGGCAGCGGCGGCGGGAGCAGGAGCAGAAAGUGAGGAGCAUCGCGGAGAGCGCCGCCGCCUCGCUCUCUGCCGAGGGGCUCCCGCCCCCAGGGGUCUGGUCGCCGCUCCGCCUGGACAAAAAUAGGGCAAGUGCUGGGACCCGGCACCGGCCGGCUGCCCUCGCCGUUGGCUGGCGCCCCACGACUGUGUUAGAACUUCACCCCUUCUCCUAACCUCUCCCAUCCUUUUUUGGGGUCCUGUCUUCCCGCCCCCUCAGCGGCGCCGCGCACACCUACGCCCCCAAAGCCCAUGCGCGCCGCUGGCGACUGCCCAUUGGAAUAGCGUUUCGUCCUGUGUUUCCUGCUUUUUCUUCCUCUAUCUCCAACAGAGUGAUGAGAGUCUCACCCCAGCCCUGGGAGCGCAGGAGACUGAAAUAACUGAAGAUUUCAGAGGCCCCUAGACUGGCCCCUGAACGUGUCACUAAUGUGUGGCAUGGGAGACUUGCUAAAUGCUCUGCUUUACUAUGUGCGCUGUUCUCGUCCAGUAGUCAAUGGCCAGGUGGCCUCCCACUGGACUUCUUGAACCACCGGCUUUUUUGCUUUACAGCAAAGACUGGCUGUAAAGAGCACCCAACUGAAUUCUUGGAAGGCCUCUCAGAAAAGAUAUCACCUUAAGAUCGAAAUGAUACUGGCGAUGAUGCUUUCAAGUGACAAGUGAUAACUGUUUUUCCAGCUCUCACCCACAUUUGUGAUUACUGCUAAGAGCAACAUGGACCGUGCCCAGUGUGGGGAUGCCCAGAGACACAGCAUCAGCAGCUAUCAAUGCCCCAAGAAGAGACCACAGAAACAGUGGGUGUGGCAGCAGAGAGCUUGUUUUUCACCUCUUGACUCCCAACUCUUGCUUCUUAAUACUGUGAGGCCUGAGUUUGUGUCAUUUGUACCCUUCACAGUGUCCUCUGGCUGAGGUGACCGUGGGCAGGCAAUUCAAGAUUAAGAUCCAGCCUGGUCUCCAAAGAAUAGGGGCAAGGGGAAACUCAGGGAGAGGUAUUUUCUAAUUCCACCAAGGCACUGGAAUCAGUUGCCUGAGACUGGACCUCAUUUCUUCCCCUCCUGCCACCAGCAGUUAUGAAACAAGCACAUGUGAACUUGUGGGAAGCAAUAUACAAAAGGUUGGAGGAAACUUUCUUACCAGAUGGAGAGGAAACAAGUUUGGGGCUUUAUAAAAGCAGGAGAC
rnacentral:lncRNA from 1 species